rnacentral:lncRNA from 1 species
GGAGUGUUAACAGACAGUCAGUCCUCACUCUUAUCACCAUGCUCAAGUCUAGAUCAUUGGAGGAGGGUUAACAGACAGUCAGUCCUCUACUCUAUAUUCACCAUGCUCUAGUCUAGACUACUGGAGGAGGGUUAACAGACAGUCAGUCCUCUACUCUAUAUUCACCAUGCUCUAGUCUAGACUACUGGAGGAGGGUUGACAGUCAGUCUCCUCUACUAUAUGCAAUCACCAUGCUCUUAUCUAGCACUGGCAGGAGGGUUAACCAUACAGUCAGGU